GAUGAACGCUGGCGGCGUGCCUAAUACAUGCAAGUCGAGCGAACGGACGAGAAGCUUGCUUCUCUGAUGUUAGCGGCGGACGGGUGAGUAACACGUGGAUAACCUACCUAUAAGACUGGGAUAACUUCGGGAAACCGGAGCUAAUACCGGAUGAUAUUUUGAACCGCAUGGUUCAAAAGUGAAAGACGGUCUUGCUGUCACUUAUAGAUGGAUCCGCGCUGCAUUAGCUAGUUGGUAAGGUAACGGCUUACCAAGGCAACGAUGCAUAGCCGACCUGAGAGGGUGUUCGGCCACACUGGAACUGAGACACGGUCCAGACUCCUACGGGAGGCAGCAGUAGGGAAUCUUCCGCAAAGGGCGAAAGCCUGACGGAGCAACGCCGCGUGAGUGAUGAAGGUCUUCGGAUCGUAAAACUCUGUUAUUAGGGAAGAACAUAUGUGUAAGUAACUGUGCACAUCUUGACGGUACCUAAUCAGAAAGCCACGGCUAACUACGUG
rnacentral:rRNA from 1 species